CGUAUGAAGUGUACGCGCAGAUAUCGCUGCAGGUCAACAAUAAGGAAGCGAAGGGUGGAUGAGGGACAGGGAGAACGGAGACUGUUGCGACUCUGAGGAGAGGAUGUCGACGCCGUGAUGCGGCAGGCGAGGAUACCGCACGUGUUCUACAAGACGCUCAUUUUCUUCCAUGCCCUCGACACGGGUGCAUGAUUCCUCUUCCGGUGGCGACGCGGCCAAUAGCGACGGCCUUGACUUUCGCCUUUGUGGCUUCUUCACUACCACUUGCGCCAGCCAGGGUGGCCGUCGUUUAUGAGGAAGGCUGAUUGACAAGGGUGAGGUGGCGCGGCGGAGGUUCCUUGAAAGACGGUGAUGAUCCAGAGCAUCUAUCGGAGCUAUCUUUGCCUGUUAUUUGUGA